rnacentral:rRNA from 1 species
UGGGGAAUUUUGCACAAUGGGGGAAACCCUGAUGCAGCGACGCCGCGUGAUUUAGAAGGCCUUCGGGUUGUAAAAAUCUUUUUUAUGGGAUGAAAAUGACAGUACCAUAAGAAUAAGGUCCGGCUAAAUACGUGCCAGCAGCCGCGGUAAUACGUAUGGACCGAGCGUUGUCCGGAAUCAUUGGGCGUAAAGGGUACGUAGGCGGCCCAGUAAGUUAGAAGUGAAAUAAUAUAGCUCAACUAUAUAAAGCUUUUAAAACUGCUAGGCUUGAGGGAUGGAAGGGAAAGUGGAAUUCCUAGUGUAGCGGUGAAAUGCGCAGAGAUAUGGAGGAACACCAGUGGCGAAGGCGACUUUCUGGUCUGUAACUGACGCUGAUGUGCGAAAGCGUGGGAAUCAAACAGG